AUUGAACGCCGGCGGCAGGCCUAACACAUGCAAGUCGAACGGUAGCACAGAGAGCUUGCUCUCGGGUGACGAGUGGCGGACGGGUGAGUAAUGUCUGGGAAACUGCCUGAUGGAGGGGGAUAACUACUGGAAACGGUAGCUAAUACCGCAUAACGUCGCAAGACCAAAGAGGGGGACCUUCGGGCCUCUUGCCAUCAGAUGUGCCCAGAUGGGAUUAGCUAGUAGGUGGGGUAACGGCUCACCUAGGCGACGAUCCCUAGCUGGUCUGAGAGGAUGACCAGCCACACAGGAACUGAGACACGGUCCAGACUCCGACGGGAGGCAGCAGUGGGGAAUAUUGCACAAUGGGCGCAAGCCUGAUGCAGCCAUGCCGCGUGUAUGAAGAAGGCCUUCGGGUUGUAAAGUACUUUCAGCGGGGAGGAAGGUGUUGAGGUUAAUAACCUCAGCAAUUGACGUUACCCGCAGAAGAAGCACCGGCUAACUCCGUGCCAGCCGCCGCGGUAA
rnacentral:rRNA from 1 species